rnacentral:rRNA from 1 species
GACGAACGCUGGCGGCGUGCUUAACACAUGCAAGUCGAACGGAAAGGCCCUGCUUUUGUGGGGUGCUCGAGUGGCGAACGGGUGAGUAACACGUGAGUAACCUGCCCUUGACUUUGGGAUAACUUCAGGAAACUGGGGCUAAUACCGGAUAGGAGCUCCUGCUGCAUGGUGGGGGUUGGAAAGUUUCGGCGGUUGGGGAUGGACUCGCGGCUUAUCAGCUUGUUGGUGGGGUAGUGGCUUACCAAGGCUUUGACGGGUAGCCGGCCUGGGAGGGUGACCGGCCACCUUGGGACUGAGGUACGGCCCAGGCCCCUACGGGGGGCAACGGGGGGGAAUAUUGCACAAUGGGGGGGAGCCUGAUGCCGAAACCCCCGGGUCGGGAAGACGGCCUUCUGGGUUGAAACCGCUUUCGCCUGGUACCGAGCGUGAGUGACGGUAAUGGGUAAAGAAGCACCGGCUAACUUCGUG